AGCCUUGAGGUGUGUUACACGUGGGAUUGCAAAUCCCAAGUAGUAGGUAAGUGCCUGCCGGGGCUU
rnacentral:tRNA from 1 species